GUUUGAUGGCGACCGGCGCACGGGUGAGUAACACGUAUCCAACCUGCCGAUGACUCGGGGGAUAGCCUUUCGAAAGAAAGAUUAAUACCCGAUGGCAUAGUUCUUCCGCAUGGUGGAACUAUUAAAGAAUUUCGGUCAUCGAUGGGGAUGCGUUCCAUUAGGUUGUUGGCGGGGUAACGGCCCACCAAGCCUUCGAUGGAUAGGGGUUCUGAGAGGAAGGGUCCCCCCACAUUGGAACUGAGANACGGUCCAAACUCCUACGGGAGGCAGCAUGG
rnacentral:rRNA from 1 species